ensembl:miRNA MIR107 microRNA 107
UCUCCACCCUGCUCUGCGCUUUUAGCCUCUUUACAGUGCUGCCUUGUCUUCUCGCGUUCAAGCAGCAUUGUACAGGGCUAUGACGGCGCAGAGAGC